CUUGAGAAAGCGUUUUGCCUACUUGGACAUAAAGUGUGCCCUUGAGGGAGUAAUUUCUGUCCACGUAGGCAAAACGCUUCCUCAGGG
rfam:Gossypium hirsutum cultivar TM-1 chromosome 18, whole genome shotgun sequence